rnacentral:rRNA from 1 species
UUUAAUUCGAAGCAACGCGCAGAACCUUACCAGCCCUUGACAUCCCGGUCGCGGAUUACAGAGAUGUUUUCCUUCAGUUCGGCUGGACCGGAGACAGGUGCUGCAUGGCUGUCGUCAGCUCGUGUCGUGAGAUGUUGGGUUAAGUCCCGCAACGAGCGCAACCCUCGCCCUUAGUUGCCAGCAUUCAGUUGGGCACUCUAAGGGGACUGCCGGUGAUAAGCCGAGAGGAAGGUGGGGAUGACGUCAAGUCCUCAUGGCCCUUACGGGCUGGGCUACACACGUGCUACAAUGGUGGUGACAGUGGGCAGCGAGCACGCGAGUGUGAGCUAAUCUCCAAAAGCCAUCUCAGUUCGGAUUGCACUCUGCAACUCGAGUGCAUGAAGUUGGAAUCGCUAGUAAUCGCGGAUCAGCAUGCCG